rnacentral:rRNA from 1 species
GACGAACGCUGGCGGCGUGCUUAACACAUGCAAGUCGAGCGGUAAGGCCCUUUCGGGGUACGACGAGCGGCGAACGGGUGAGUAACACGUGGGUGACCUGCCCUCAGCUCUGGGAUAAGCCUGGGAAACCGGGUCUAAUACUGGAUAUGACUCCAUGACGCAUGUUGUGGGGUGGAAAGCCUUGUGCGGCUGAGGAUGGGCCCGCGGCCUAUCAGCUUGUUGGUGAGGUAAUGGCUUACCAAGGCGA